rnacentral:rRNA from 1 species
UACGUAGGGGGCAAGCGUUAUCCGGAUUUACUGGGUGUAAAGGGAGCGUAGACGGCGCGGCAAGUCCGGAGUGAAAGCCCAUGGCUCAACCGUGGGACUGCUCUGGAAACUGUCGUGCUCGAGUGCGGGAGGGGCAGGCGGAAUUCCUGGUGUAGCGGUGAAAUGCGUAGAUAUCAGGAGGAACACCGGCGGCGAAGGCGGCCUGCUGGACCGUAACUGACGUUGAGGCUCGAAAGCGUGGGGAGCAA